AAAACACUAUUUCUCCCAGCCCGAAUGCUGGAGUGGGUGUAUAUGCAACUGAUAUCCCCAGUAACUGCGGGCUCCCUUUGGCUGCUAAGUGAAUGGCAGGGAGGCUUGAGGCUGCGCUGUUCACUUUAGGAAACAGCGAGGUGUCUGAGCUAGGGAAUCCUAAAAAGGAUUACUGUCACAAAUUGAAUUGAAAUUUAAGAAACACACAAACUGAAACAAGACCUUUUAAUUUGUAGCCCCAAACAGGCAAACUGCUCUGUUGAAACAAUUAAGCAGCUGUGAUGAGGAGGGGCAGCAAUACACAGCAGCUGCCCGGAUUUCCAAGGAGGUUACAGAGAGUUCACGGACUUAGAACCACUCUAGCUCACCUGGCUCCACGUGGCGACUCAAGGCUCUGCACCCUUCCGGCCGCUAAGACAAGGCCUCAGACACGGGGUUCUGCCCUGUCUACUGUCAGCAGAGCCAAGCUGAGAAGGAUGGGCACGAGAAAAGUUUGCAGUUGAUAUGAGAAGAGAGGAA
rnacentral:lncRNA from 10 species